AGAGGCGAUGAAGGACGUGCUAAUCUGCGAUAAGCGUCGGUAAGGUGAUAUGAACCGUUAUAACCGGCGAUUUCCGAAUGGGGAAACCCAGUGUGAUUCGUCACACUAUCAUUAACUGAAUCCAUAAGUUAAUGAGGCGAACCGGGGGAACUGAAACAUCUAAGUACCCCGAGGAAAAGAAAUCAACCGAGAUUCCCCCAGUAGCGGCGAGCGAACGGGGAGCAGCCCAGAGCCUGAAUCAGUGUGUGUGUUAG
rnacentral:rRNA from 1 species